rnacentral:rRNA from 1 species
CAAUCGCGUGUAGUAAAGUUGUUGCGGUUAAGAAAGCUCGUAGUUGGAUUUCUGCCGAGGCCGGCCGGUCCGCCCUCUGGGUGAGUAUCUGGCUCGACCUGGGCAUCCUUCCAGAGAAUGUGUCUGCUAGUGACUGAGUGGCGCAGUAUCUGGAACUUUUACUUUGCGGAAAUUAGAAUGUUUCAAGCAGGCAUACGCCUUGAAUACAUUAGCAUGGAAUACUAAGAUAGGACCUCGGCUCUAUUUUUGUUGGUGUCUAGAGAUGCGGUAUUGAUUAAUAGGGAUAGUUAGGGGCAUUCGUACUCAACUGUCAGAGGUGACAUUCUUGGAUUUGAUAAAACGGACUACUGCGAAAGAAUUUGUCAAAGAUGUUAUCAUUGAUCAAGAACGACAGUUAUGGGGAUCGAAGACGAUUAGAUACCGU